rnacentral:lncRNA from 1 species
GCAUGGAUCACAAUGCCAGAGAAACAUAUAAGUAUCUUGGAACAUGAUGUGGACUUCCUUCAAUUUGCAUUGCCUAAUCCUACUAUUCUAAUCUAAAUGUUAAACUAAUGAAGUUAAUUAAUAUGCAAUGAGAGUUUCUUGUGGUUUUUUUUUCUUAACAUCAAUGCCAAAAUAAAUGAAAGUGUUUUGUCUUCCUAAUGAGAAGAA